rnacentral:rRNA from 1 species
CUUACACAUGCAAGUCGGACGAUGAAGCCCAGCUUGCUGGGUGGAUUAGUGGCGAACGGGUGAGUAACACGUGAGUAACCUGCCCUUGACUCUGGGAUAAGCGUUGGAAACGACGUCUAAUACCGGAUACGAGCUUCCACCGCAUGGUGAGUUGCUGGAAAGAAUUUUGGUCAAGGAUGGACUCGCGGCCUAUCAGCUUGUUGGUGAGGUAACGGCUCACCAAGGCGACGACGGGUAGCCGGCCUGAGAGGGUGACCGGCCACACUGGGACUGAGACACGGCCCAGACUCCUACGGGAGGCAGCAGUGGGGAAUAUUGCACAAUGGGCGAAAGCCUGAUGCAGCAACGCCGCGUGAGGGACGACGGCCUUCGGGUUGUAAACCUCUUUUAGCAGGGAAGAAGCGAAAGUGACGGUACCUGCAGAAAAAGCACCGGCUAACUACGUGCCAGCAGCCGCGGUAAUACGUAGGGUGCAAGCGUUGUCCGGAAUUAUUGGGCGUAAAGAGCUCGUAGGCGGUUUGUCGCGUCUGCUGUGAAAUCCCGAGGCUCAACCUCGGGUCUGCAGUGGGUACGGGCAGACUAGAGUGCGGUAGGGGAGAUUGGAAUUCCUGGUGUAGCGGUGGAAUGCGCAGAUAUCAGGAGGAACACCGAUGGCGAAGGCAGAUCUCUGGGCCGCUACUGACGCUGAGGAGCGAAAGGGUGGGGAGCAAACAGGCUUAGAUACCCUGGUAGUCCACCCCGUAAACGUUGGGCGCUAGAUGUGGGGACCAUUCCACGGUUUCCGUGUCGUAGCUAACGCAUUAAGCGCCCCGCCUGGGGAGUACGGCCGCAAGGCUAAAACUCAAAGGAAUUGACGGGGGCCCGCACAAGCGGCGGAGCAUGCGGAUUAAUUCGAUGCAACGCGAAGAACCUUACCAAGGCUUGACAUAUACGAGAACGGGCCAGAAAUGGUCAACUCUUUGGACACUCGUAAACAGGUGGUGCAUGGUUGUCGUCAGCUCGUGUCGUGAGAUGUUGGGUUAAGUCCCGCAACGAGCGCAACCCUCGUUCUAUGUUGCCAGCACGUCAUGGUGGGAACUCAUGGGAUACUGCCGGGGUCAACUCGGAGGAAGGUGGGGACGACGUCAAAUCAUCAUGCCCCUUAUGUCUUGGGCUUCACGCAUGCUACAAUGGCCAGUACAAAGGGCUGCAAUACCGUAAGGUGGAGCGAAUCCCAAAAAGCUGGUCCCAGUUCGGAUUGAGGUCUGCAACUCGACCUCAUGAAGUCGGAGUCGCUAGUAAUCGCAGAUCAGCAACGCUGCGGUGAAUACGUUCCCGGGCCUUGUACACACCGCCCGUCAAGUCGAGGAAAGUCGGUAACACCCGAAGCCAGUGGCCUAACCGCAAGGAUGGAGCGUCUAAGUGGGUCCGG